rnacentral:rRNA from 1 species
UACAGAGGGGGCAAGCGUUGUUCGGAAUUACUGGGCGUAAAGGGCGCGUAGGCGGCCUGCUAAGUCGAACGUGAAAUCCCCGAGCUCAACUCGGGAACUGCGUCCGAUACUGGCAGGCUUGAAUCCGGGAGAGGGAUGCGGAAUUCCAGGUGUAGCGGUGAAAUGCGUAGAUAUCUGGAGGAACACCGGUGGCGAAGGCGGGUUGCUGGGCUGACACUGACGCUGAACUGCGAAAGCUAGGGGAGCGAACGGG